UACAGAGAUCCCGAGCGUUGUUCGGAUUCACUGGGCGUAAAGGGUGCGUAGGUGGUCGGGUAAGUUUGAUGUGAAAUCUCUGAGCUCAACUCAGAAACUGCAUUGAAUACUAUCCGGCUUGAGAAUCGGAGGGGGGACUGGAAUACUUGGUGUAGCAGUGAAAUGCGUAGAUAUCAAGUGGAACACCAGUGGCGAAGGCGAGUCCCUGGACGAUUUCUGACACUGAGGCACGAAAGCUAGGGGAGCAAACAGG
rnacentral:rRNA from 1 species